rnacentral:rRNA from 1 species
UACGUAGGGGGCAAGCGUUGUCCGGAAUCAUUGGGCGAAAGGGCGUGUAGGCGGUUUGUUAAGUCAUGUGUGAAAUCCCUCGGCUCAACCGGGGAACGACGCAUGAAACUGGCAAGCUAGAGUACCAAAGAGGGGGUGGAAUUCCCGGUGUAGCGGUGAAAUGCGCAGAUAUCAGGAGGAACACCGAUGGCGAAGGCAGCUCGCUGGGACGGUACUGACGCUGAGGCGCGAAAGCGUGGGAGCAAACAGG